GAUGAACGCUGGCGGCGUGCUUAACACAUGCAAGUCGAACGGAAAGGCCCAAGCUUGCUUGGGUACUCGAGUGGCGAACGGGUGAGUAACACGUGGGUGAUCUGCUCUGCACUUCGGGAUAAGCCUGGGAAACUGGGUCUAAUACCGGAUAGGACCACAUUUUGGAUGGUGUGGUGGAAAGUUUUUCGGUGUGGGAUGAGCUCGCGGCCUAUCCGCUUGUUGGUGGGGUAAUGGCCUACCAAGGCGUCGACGGGUAGCCGGCCUGAGAGGGUGUACGGCCACAUUGGGACUGAGAUACGGCCCAGACUCCUACGGGAGGCAGCAGUGGGGAAUAUUGCACAAUGGGCGCAAGCCUGAUGCAGCGACGCCGCGUGGGGGAUGACGGCCUUCGGGUUGUAAACUCCUUUCGCUAGGGACGAAGCGUUAUGUGACGGUACCUGGAGAAGAAGCACCGGCUAACUACGUG
rnacentral:rRNA from 1 species